AACACAUGCAAGUCGAACGAAGUAGCAAUACUUAGUGGCAGACGGGUGAGUAACACGUAGUCAACCUGCCUCUCAAUGGGGGAUAACUAGCCGAAAGGUUAGCUAAUACCGCAUACGAUCACCGAGUGGCAUCACACGGUGAUGAAAGGAGUAAUCCGUUGAGAGAGGGACUGCGUCCCAUUAGUUAGUUGGUGGGGUAAUGGCCUACCAAGACUCCGAUGGGUAGCUGGCUUGAGAGAGCGACCAGCCACACUGGAACUGAGACACGGUCCAGACUCCUACGGGAGGCAGCAGUGAGGAAUUUUCCGCAAUGGGGGAAACCCUGACGGAGCGACGCCGCGUGUGGGAAGAAGGCCUUCGGGUCGUAAAGCACUGUCGAGGGGGACGAUAUUGACGGUACCCCUGGAGGAAG
rnacentral:rRNA from 1 species